rnacentral:rRNA from 1 species
UACGUAGGGUGCAAGCGUUAAUCGGAAUUACUGGGCGUAAAGCGUGCGCAGGCGGUUAUGCAAGACAGAUGUGAAAUCCCCGGGCUCAACCCUGGGAACUGCAUUUGUGACUGCAUGGCUGGAGUGCGGCAGAGGGGGGAUGGAAUUCCGCGUGUAGCAGUGAAAUGCGUAGAGAUGCGGCGGAACACCGAUGGCGAAGGCAGCCCCCCUGGGCUAGCACUGACGCUCAGGCACGAAAGCGUGGGGAGCAAACAGG